rnacentral:rRNA from 1 species
AUACGUAGGGAGCGAGCGUUGUCCGGAAUUACUGGGUGUAAAGGGUGCGUAGGUGGGUUUGCAAGUCAGAUGUGAAAUCUCCGGGCUCAACUCGGAGCGUGCAUUUGAAACUGCAGGUCUUGAGGACAGGAGAGGCAAGCGGAAUUCCCAGUGUAGCGGUGAAAUGCGUAGAUAUUGGGAGGAACACCAGUGGCGAAGGCGGCUUGCUGGACUGUAACUGACACUGAGGCACGAAAGCGUGGGGAGC